AGCUCCAAUAGUGUAUAUUAAAGUUGCUGCAGUUAAAAAGCUCGUAGUUGGAUUUCGGAUAAUAAAAAUUUAAUAUCCAUCCUUAAAAUGUGAUUUAAUUUUUAUUUCCUUCCUUUUGAAUACACUCCCUAAACUCUUUUAGGGAAUCAAGUGUUUCAAAUCGUUUACUGUGAAGAAAUUAGAGUGUUCAAAGCAGGCGUAACCUAGCCUUUGAAUAUAUUAGCAUGGGAUAAUGAAAUAGGACUUUAGUCCUACUUUCGUUGGUUUCUAGGGCUGAAGUAAUGAUUAAUAGGGAUAGUUGGGGUCACUAGUAUUUAAUUGUCAGAGGUGAAAUUCUAAGAUUUAUUAAAGACUAACUACUGCGAAAGCAUUUGACAAGGAUGUUUUCA
rnacentral:rRNA from 1 species